rnacentral:piRNA from 1 species
UAAUAUUGUUUUGGUCUCAAUUAUUU